UCUGGUUUGGAUCGGGAGAUAUUUGAUUUUGUCCAUUUUUCCCCAAAACAGAACACAGUGCGACGUGUUAAUUAUAUGU